GAUGAAGAACGCAGCGAAAUGCGAUAAGUAGUGUGAAUUGCAGAAUUCAGUGAAUCAUCGAAUCUUUGAACGCACAUUGCGCCCUUUGGUAUUCCAAAGGGCAUGCCUGUUCGAGCGUCAUUUGUACCCUCAAGCUUUGCUUGGUGUUGGGCGUCUUGUCUCUAGCUUUGCUGGAGACUCGCCUUAAAGUAAUUGGCAGCCGGCCUACUGGUUUCGGAGCGCAGCACUAGUCGCACUCUCUAUCAGCAAAGGUCUAGCAUCCAUUAAGCCUUUUUUUCAACUUUUGACCUCGGAUCAGGUAGGGAUACCCGCUGAACUUAAGCAUAUCAAUAAGCGGAGGA
rnacentral:misc_RNA from 1 species